rfam:Medicago truncatula strain A17 chromosome 5, whole genome shotgun sequence.
UAGCUAUUGAGAUAUUGGCUUGGUUCACUCAGAAGAAACAAAAAAUAACACUACUUGUGAAUGUUUUGAUUUUGAUUUUGAUUUUGAUUGAGCCGUGCCAAUAUUUCAAAUGCUAUU